rnacentral:rRNA from 1 species
GGUUAAGCGACUAAGCGUACACGGUGGAUGCCCUGGCAGUCAGAGGCGAUGAAGGACGUGCUAAUCUGCGAUAAGCGUCGGUAAGGUGAUAUGAACCGUUAUAACCGGCGAUUUCCGAAUGGGGAAACCCAGUGUGAUUCGUCACACUAUCAUUAACUGAAUCCAUAGGUUAAUGAGGCGAACCGGGGGAACUGAAACAUCUAAGUACCCCGAGGAAAAGAAAUCAACCGAGAUUCCCCCAGUAGCGGCGAGCGAACGGGGAGCAGCCCAGAGCCUGAAUCAGUGUGUGUGUUAGUGGAAGCGUCUGGAAAGGCGUGCGAUACAGGGUGACAGCCCCGUACACAAAAAUGCACAUAUUGUGAGCUCGAUGAGUAGGGCGGGACACGUGGUAUCCUGUCUGAAUAUGGGGGGACCAUCCUCCAAGGCUAAAUACUCCUGACUGACCGAUAGUGAACCAGUACCGUGAGGGAAAGGCGAAAAGAACCCCGGCGAGGGGAGUGAAAAAGAACCUGAAACCGUGUACGUACAAGCAGUGGGAGCACGCUUAGGCGUGUGACUGCGUACCUUUUGUAUAAUGGGUCAGCGACUUAUAUUCUGUAGCAAGGUUAACCGAAUAGGGGAGCCGAAGGGAAACCGAGUCUUAACUGGGCGUUAAGUUGCAGGGUAUAGACCCGAAACCCGGUGAUCUAGCCAUGGGCAGGUUGAAGGUUGGGUAACACUAACUGGAGGACCGAACCGACUAAUGUUGAAAAAUUAGCGGAUGACUUGUGGCUGGGGGUGAAAGGCCAAUCAAACCGGGAGAUAGCUGGUUCUCCCCGAAAGCUAUUUAGGUAGCGCCUCGUGAAUUCAUCUCCGGGGGUAGAGCACUGUUUCGGCAAGGGGGUCAUCCCGACUUACCAACCCGAUGCAAACUGCGAAUACCGGAGAAUGUUAUCACGGGAGACACACGGCGGGUGCUAACGUCCGUCGUGAAGAGGGAAACAACCCAGACCGCCAGCUAAGGUCCCAAAGUCAUGGUUAAGUGGGAAACGAUGUGGGAAGGCCCAGACAGCCAGGAUGUUGGCUUAGAAGCAGCCAUCAUUUAAAGAAAGCGUAAUAGCUCACUGGUCGAGUCGGCCUGCGCGGAAGAUGUAACGGGGCUAAACCAUGCACCGAAGCUGCGGCAGCGACACUAUGUGUUGUUGGGUAGGGGAGCGUUCUGUAAGCCUGUGAAGGUGUACUGUGAGGUAUGCUGGAGGUAUCAGAAGUGCGAAUGCUGACAUAAGUAACGAUAAAGCGGGUGAAAAGCCCGCUCGCCGGAAGACCAAGGGUUCCUGUCCAACGUUAAUCGGGGCAGGGUGAGUCGACCCCUAAGGCGAGGCCGAAAGGCGUAGUCGAUGGGAAACAGGUUAAUAUUCCUGUACUUGGUGUUACUGCGAAGGGGGGACGGAGAAGGCUAUGUUGGCCGGGCGACGGUUGUCCCGGUUUAAGCGUGUAGGCUGGUUUUCCAGGCAAAUCCGGAAAAUCAAGGCUGAGGCGUGAUGACGAGGCACUACGGUGCUGAAGCAACAAAUGCCCUGCUUCCAGGAAAAGCCUCUAAGCAUCAGGUAACAUCAAAUCGUACCCCAAACCGACACAGGUGGUCAGGUAGAGAAUACCAAGGCGCUUGAGAGAACUCGGGUGAAGGAACUAGGCAAAAUGGUGCCGUAACUUCGGGAGAAGGCACGCUGAUAUGUAGGUGAAGUCCCUUGCGGAUGGAGCUGAAAUCAGUCGAAGAUACCAGCUGGCUGCAACUGUUUAUUAAAAACACAGCACUGUGCAAACACGAAAGUGGACGUAUACGGUGUGACGCCUGCCCGGUGCCGGAAGGUUAAUUGAUGGGGUUAGCGCAAGCGAAGCUCUUGAUCGAAGCCCCGGUAAACGGCGGCCGUAACUAUAACGGUCCUAAGGUAGCGAAAUUCCUUGUCGGGUAAGUUCCGACCUGCACGAAUGGCGUAAUGAUGGCCAGGCUGUCUCCACCCGAGACUCAGUGAAAUUGAACUCGCUGUGAAGAUGCAGUGUACCCGCGGCAAGACGGAAAGACCCCGUGAACCUUUACUAUAGCUUGACACUGAACAUUGAGCCUUGAUGUGUAGGAUAGGUGGGAGGCUUUGAAGUGUGGACGCCAGUCUGCAUGGAGCCGACCUUGAAAUACCACCCUUUAAUGUUUGAUGUUCUAACGUUGACCCGUGAUCCGGGUUGCGGACAGUGUCUGGUGGGUAGUUUGACUGGGGCGGUCUCCUCCUAAAGAGUAACGGAGGAGCACGAAGGUUGGCUAAUCCUGGUCGGACAUCAGGAGGUUAGUGCAAUGGCAUAAGCCAGCUUGACUGCGAGCGUGACGGCGCGAGCAGGUGCGAAAGCAGGUCAUAGUGAUCCGGUGGUUCUGAAUGGAAGGGCCAUCGCUCAACGGAUAAAAGGUACUCCGGGGAUAACAGGCUGAUACCGCCCAAGAGUUCAUAUCGACGGCGGUGUUUGGCACCUCGAUGUCGGCUCAUCACAUCCUGGGGCUGAAGUAGGUCCCAAGGGUAUGGCUGUUCGCCAUUUAAAGUGGUACGCGAGCUGGGUUUAGAACGUCGUGAGACAGUUCGGUCCCUAUCUGCCGUGGGCGCUGGAGAAUUGAGGGGGGCUGCUCCUAGUACGAGAGGACCGGAGUGGACGCAUCACUGGUGUUCGGGUUGUCAUGCCAAUGGCACUGCCCGGUAGCUAAAUGCGGAAGAGAUAAGUGCUGAAAGCAUCUAAGCACGAAACUUGCCCCGAGAUGAGUUCUCCCUGACUCCUUGAGAGUCCUGAAGGAACGUUGAAGACGACGACGUUGAUAGGCCGGGUGUGUAAGCGCAGCGAUGCGUUGAGCUAACCGGUACUAAUGAACCGUGAGGCUUAACCUU